rnacentral:lncRNA from 1 species
UCCAUCUUCCACCAUGGAAUGGCACAACUUCCAACUCUCGUGACAGUUAUCUUCUAUUCAGAAAACAAUCCACAAGCAUAUUUGCAUAGCACUUUUCAUGUGUUUUUUCUCCAGAAUUGUUUCCUUCUUUCUUUGAAGACUUAACUUAGAAUGAAAAAGGCUCUGUGUGAAAGGCACACCAAGGACACUCAGAUCCCAAGCCUUCGCUUCUUGGAGCUCGACCUAGCUUUAGUCUACCUGGCCAUGUCUGAUUCAUCCUGCAAAAUCCGUUCAAACAGACUUCUAUGAAGAUUCUGGGACCCCUUAUAAGAGUGACAGUGAACCUUUUAGAGACUGAGUGUCCAAACUGCAAUCCAAAACCCACUUACUUAUCAGAAAGUGGCAACAGUGCAAUUAAACCUGUAUGUUGGACAGUUUGUAAUAACUAAAACUUGGAAACAGCCCAAAUGCCCAUCAACUGGAGACUGGAUAAAGAAAAUGUGGGGUUUUUUUUAUAAAAUGGAGUACUACUCAGCCAUCAAAAAGAGAAAUUAGAGACAUUUAUUGUUAAAUGGAUGCACAUUGAGGCAAUACUCUUUUUUUUUUUUUUUUUUUUUUUUUUGGUACCAGGGAUCAAACUCGGGUCCUUGCACUUGCACAGCAGGUGGUGAAAUCACUGAGCUAAAUCCCCAGCCCAAGGUGAUACUCUUAAGUGAAAUAAAUAGGAUACACAUGUGUAAAUACCUAAUAGUUUCUCUAGUGUGAGAAACUGAAAGUGUAAAUAAGGACUAAAAGGAUAAUAGAUAAUGUGAAAUAGGAAGAAAAAGGGCAAAGGGGAAGGGGAAGUGGGAGGGGUAGGGGAAAGGAAAGAAGGGAAUGGAAUUAAUAUGAGAAAAUGAAAAAAAGGAAACAAAGUCUUUGUAAAUAGGGAGGGGUGGAGGGGUUGAAGGGAGGGCAG